rnacentral:rRNA from 1 species
UGGGUAAUCUACCUUUUGGUGGGGAAUACCCCUGGGAAACUAGGGAUAAUACCGCAUAAGUCCGCAAGGAGAAAGUCGCAAGACGCCGAUAGAGGAGCCCGCGGCCGAUUAGCUAGUUGGUGAGGUAAUGGCUCACCAAGGCUUCGAUCGGUAGCCGGCCUGAGAGGGCACACGGCCACACUGGCACUGAAACACGGGCCAGACUCCUACGGGAGGCAG